UGGAGAUGCCGGGAUUUGAACCAGAGACCUUUCACACGCAAAGCAGACUCUCUACUACUGAGCUAUAUCUCC